rnacentral:lncRNA from 1 species
CAAAUCAUGCAGGAGUUCAACAGGUGUUCAGCCAUUUUGAGCAACGAGGGAACGGACCAAUCCGCUAGCGACUCUAGCGAGCUAUCGCGAAGCUGUCAUACUUUCCCAAACAAACAAAACAAAAGAGAUGCCUGCCUAACCAGUCAUCUAACCAGUUGGCAAGUGAAAUUUCGGUGGAGCGACCGUGUACUACCCCGGCUCUUUUAAUUAUUGUUGGCACUUUCAAAACUUGAUUAUGAUCGUUGUACAUAAGUAAUUGCUCUGUCGCGACGGAUUUUUCGAAUAUUUCGUAAUUAAAUAAUCGAGUGUCGAGUGUUAAGUGUGUUCUGUUCAAGUUUCGGUCACCCAGUGAAUUGCACCGUGCACACCCUCGAGAUAUAAUCUUUUAGUGAAGUGUUAUUCACCUGUUCAUUUCAGUCUUCGAAGGAUUACAAGAACUCUAUGGAUAUACAUCACUACCAGUCGUAUUGGUUUAAAUCAGGACAGGUAGUGAUGAGCUGCUAUGCGCGGUAGCGCUGACCUGAUUUCCCGGUCUCAAAAUGGUUAUCGUAACCAGAGGAGACUACAUCUGGAUCGAGCCGGUCUCCGGUCGAGAGUUCGACGUCGCCAUCGGGGCGCGCGUUAUCUCUGCAGAGGGCCGACGGAUCCAAGUCAAAGACGACGAUGGCAAGGUAAAACAUCCACCCUAUUCAUUCAUUCAUUCAUCUCCACGUCCCUCCGUCCUCUUUUUCAUUUCACACCUGGUAGGUAGGUCAACAAUUAAAUGCUGAAGUCAUGGAAGGGAAAGCUUUCACCAUUGCCAAAAUACCAGUGGAGGGUCUCUUGUCUCUGCACCAGUAUCUUGGCCAUGGUGGAAGCUUUUACUUUCGGGACUUCAGCAUUCUACUGUUGACUUACCUACAUGGUUGAUGUUGAACAACUUGUUGGUAGUUUCGUUUUCCAAACAAGCCGAAAAUGGCCGACGUUUGGGAAACUCGUUUGGCUCAUGGCGUCAUCCGAAGCUCAUAAUCCACCAUGUAGGUAGGUCAACAGCCGAAAAAAGAGUGAUAACUGUUGCUCCCUAAUAAUUGUCCAUAAGGAAUUAUCGAAACCCCGAAAGUAAAAGCUUCCACCUGUCGCCAAGAUGCCAGUGGAGGGUCUCUUGUCUCUGGUCUCUUGUCUCCGACUCCACCCUAGACAAACGGAACUCAUCGAUUUUAGUGAGAACUGCGCUUAAAAAUUGAAGACUCUCGGUCCUCAGUCCACACCGGGGCAUUUCCUCGAGCUCCGGUGCCGGGCGCGUUGGCGGAAGCGCCAAGGAGCUGAACUUUCUCCCCCGAAACGCUCCAAAAGUGGAGAGCUCUCGCUUUUUCACAGCGUCCGCCGUCCGCGCUGGCAUUCCCACAAGCGGCGCGGCGAGGCGGCUGCCCUGGCUCCCGUUGAGCAUGCGACCCGACCGCAGAGCUUGGCAAUUUCCUCGGCUCUGACGAGAGCUGUCAUUACUGUCGUGCGUCAUACACGUAAAUAUGUCGUAAUUGUCUGCGAUAAUCGCGUGUCGCAGCCGGGAUUUUUCUCCCGCC